ensembl:lncRNA
CCCCCGCCCCCAUCAUUCACAAAAUGGCUGCAAGAAAAACCCAGAUGAAAAUAAUCCCAGAGCCCUCAUCACUCGAGGUUGUGGUGCCACGGACACCUUGUUCCAACCUCGUGUUCUUUAUUGGUUUAUUACUGAGAUCUUCUGUUUAAAACGGUUGUAAGCACACAAUUACAUUUUUCUUGGCUUUUUUUUUUUUAUUUUUAAAAAUGAUUUUCGGUGAAAUCAACAACAACAAAAAAUAAAAUAAAAACACUGUGGAGUUUUAACUGUAGUUGCUAGCUAGUUCUUUUCGUCUCUGUCCCAUGCUUUUCUCCAUCCCGAUUUAUCAACACAAGUAAUUACACAGCACCAAAUAGCUGUGUAUGUCCGAUGUCAUUUGCGCUUCGGUUGAUUGGUCACAUGUAGAAGGAUCAGAUGGUUGCUAUGGAAGACGGUUGAAACAGAAGAACACAGCAUCAUCACGUUGUCAUGGGGACAAAAACACACCGAUGGGAAAACAGACAGCACUUGGGGGGAGGACAAGAGUGUUUUCUCGAUUCAAGGGGAGUCGUCGUCGUCAUCAUCAUCAUCAUCAACCGAUUUAAGACUUCAUAUUUGUCCUGGCUUUCGUCUUGCUUUGUGACAUCACUGUGUUCACAGGGAGUAAAAAAGGAACGAGAGUUUCCACUCAAGUAAAGAAAAGGAUGUGUUUUUGGUGUAGGUUUAGGAGACUACUUUAAUUCUCUAGUCUGUUUCCUUUCGUUGGAAGGUGUGUGGACACUGGCUGACUGCCAACCAGGGUGAAAAAGUACAAUUUUUUUUUUUUUUUUUUUUUUACAGGUAAUUUGACACUUAUUUCAGAAUUGGUGGUCUAAUGAACUGUUAAAGAAGGACUUUUUGUUACUUUGCUCUGCUGCGGAAGAUGAAAGAAUCCGAAACGAAAGUUUUGACUGAAAGAAAAGAGGCGAGUGGAUGUUUUUUUUGUUUUGUUUAUACUUUCAGUAAAAAAAAAAUAAAAAAAAUGUAAUUAAAGGAAUUGAUUUGCAGAGAGGAAAAGCUUACUUUUCACCUGUCCUCCUCGUCGUCUCAACCUGUCGAUGGUCCAUGGAAUGCAUUUGUUGACAUCUAAUGGAAUUUAGAAGGUUCUUUUUGUUCCAAACCUUGUUUUUUUAGAGUUCUGAGAAUAGCCUGGGAUAUUUUCUGCCCCCCCUCCCAUCCCCCCUCCCCAAAAUGCGGACAAACUGUUGAUAUUAAUAACCAUUCACAUUGCUUUUGGUGUAUUGUUGUUAUUAUUAUUAUUAUUAUUAUUUGCUUUACAUAUGUUUAGGUAUGCAAGUGUGUGUGUAAUGUGACAAAUGUUUUCCAUGUAGUUGGCAUGUAUUUUUGAAACGGAGCAUUUUAUUUACCGAGAGGUGGGAAAUGUUUCAUUAUGAAGAAUGAUUGAAUGGUGCAGCAGCAAACAGGGUUUGAGCUCAGUUGUAAAUUAGUUCCUUCCUUCAAGUAGCAAGUAAAGUUUAAAAAAAUAAAAUAAAAUAAAAAAAUAAUCUCUUUUUUAUAUAAUUAUCUGUAACAAAAAUGUUUUUACAUGUUUGUCAUCUUGGUUGCUUUAUGUCUUGAUAUAUAUAUAUAAAAAAAAACUGAAAAUGUCUUGUCUCCCUGCUCAGUAAUGUCUUGUCACCAACGGAGUAAAAAGUACCCAAUUGUCAUACUUGAGUAAAAAGUAAGGAUACCUUAAUAGAAAAUGACUCGAGUGAAAGUUACCCAAUAAAAUAC